GGAACAUAAGGCUGAAGAGAGACUCACAGCUCUCUGCCUCUGCCCUAGUGACACCUAUCAACAUCACCCAGCCCACUGUGAGGCUACUCCAUUCAUCCUGCGACCCCAAUGCGUUCCACUCCACCAUCCAGCUCUACUGCUUCAUUUAUGGCCAUAUUCUCAAUGACGUCACUGUCACCUGGCUACAGGACGGAAAGAAGAUAAAUAAAAUUUCAAAUGAAUUCCUAAUCAAGACGGAGGGCAAGCUAGCCUCUACCUACAGUGAACUCAACAUCACCCAGGAAGAAUGGAUGUCGGAAAGCACCUUCACUUGCGUGGUCACCUCCCAAACAGAAACCUAUUCUGCCUAUGCUCAGAAGUGCCCAGAAUAUGAGCCAUGUGGCGUGAAUACCUACCUGAUCCCACCCAGCCCCCUGGACCUGUAUAUACUCAAGACUCCCAAGCUUACCUGUCUGGUGGUAGACCUGGAAAGCAAGGAUAAUGUCACUGUGACAUGGACCCAAGAGCAUAGGAAGCCUGUAGGCUCAGUAACCCAGAGCUUCGCCACGCACCGUAAUGCCACAACCAGUAUCACCUCCGUCCUGUCAGUGGAUACCAAGGACUGGAUUGAAGGUGUAGGCUAUCGGUGCACAGUGACCCACCCUGACUUUCCCAAGUCCAUUGUGCGGUCCAUCACCAAGGCCCCAGGCAAGCGCUCAGCCCCCGAGGUAUAUGUGUUCCCACCACCAGAGGAGGAGAACAAGGACAAACGAACACUCACCUGCCUGAUCCAGAACUUCUUCCCUGAGGACAUCUCUGUGCAGUGGCUGCAGGAUGAGAGGCUGAUCCCAGACGCACAGCACAGCACCACAGCACCUCUGCUAGCCAAUGGCUCCAAACGAGGCUUCUUCAUCUUCAGCCGCCUAGAGGUCACCAAGGCACAGUGGACACGGAGUAAACAAUUCACCUGCCGCGUGAUCCAUGAGGCACUGCGGGAACCUAGGAAGCUAGAGAAAUCAGUAUCCAAGAGCCCUGAGCUAGACCUCCAGGACCUGUGCACCGAAGAGGCGGAGAGCGAGGAGCUGGAAGAGCUGUGGACCAGCACUUACAUCUUCAUCACCCUGUUCCUGCUCAGCGUGAGCUAUGGGGCCGCUGUCACCCUCCUCAAGGUGAAGUGGGUCUUCUCCACACUGAUGCAGGGUGUGCCUCAGACCCUCCAUGACUAUGCCAACAUCCUCCAGACCAGGGCAUAG